AUUGAACGCUGGCGGCAGGCCUUACACAUGCAAGUCGAGCGAGAAAUUUUCUUCGGAAAAGAGUAAAGCGGCGGACGGGUGAGUAACGCGUAGGAAUCUACCUAGUAGUGGGGGACAACAUGUGGAAACGCAUGCUAAUACCGCAUACGCCCUAUGGGGGAAAGCAGGGGAUCUUCGGACCUUGUGCUAUUAGAUGAGCCUGCGUCGGAUUAGUUUGUUGGUAGGGUAAUGGCCUACCAAGACUACGAUCCGUAGCUGGUCUGAGAGGAUGAUCAGCCACACUGGGACUGAGACACGGCCCAG
rnacentral:rRNA from 1 species